AACGCAUAUUGCGGUCGAGGCUUCGGCCAAGACCAUGUCUGCCUCAGCGUCGGUGUGAACCCUCAUUCUCCCCACAAGGGGUUGAAUGGAACUGGUCUCCUCAGCCUCACGGCUGGGUUGGCUGAAAUUCAGAGGUUUAAGCUUGGGCCUGUAUGGCAACAGCAAGGUAGGUAGCUUGCUACUCCAGCUGAUGCUUUGGGCACUUGCACAAACCCGCAGGAAUUCUCACCUUUUCGACCUGAGAUCAGGCAAGGCUACCCGCUGAACUUAA
rnacentral:misc_RNA from 1 species